rnacentral:rRNA from 1 species
UACGAAGGGGGCUAGCGUUGUUCGGAAUUACUGGGCGUAAAGGGCGCGUAGGCGGCCGAUUAAGUUAGGUGUGAAAGUCCUGGGCUCAACCUGGGGACUGCACUUAAUACUGAUUGGCUUGAAUUCGGGAGAGGAUAGCGGAAUUCCCAGUGUAGAGGUGAAAUUCGUAGAUAUUGGGAAGAACACCGGUGGCGAAGGCGGCUAUCUGGACCGACAUUGACGCUGAGGCGCGAAAGCGUGGGGAGCAAACAGG